rnacentral:rRNA from 1 species
CCUACGGGAGGCUGCAGUGGGGAAUAUUGCACAAUGGGGGGAACCCUGAUGCAGCGACGCCGCGUGAGCGAAGAAGCACCUCGGCGCGUAAAGCUCUAUCAGCAGGGAAGAAAAUGACGGUACCUGACGAAUCAGCCCCGGCUACCUACGUGCCAGCAGCCGCGGUAAUACGUAGGGGGCAAGCGUUAUCCGGAUUUACUGGGUGUAAAGGGGGCGUAGACGGGGGUGCAAGCCAGGCGUGAAAUCCCGGGGCCCACCCCCGGGACUGCUUUUGAAACUGUGGGGCUUGAGUGUAGGAGGGGCAGGCGGAAUUCCUGGUGUAGCGGUGAAAUGCGUAGAUAUCAGGAGGAACACCGGUGGCGAAGGCGGCCUGCUGGACUGCAACUGACGUUGAGGCGCGAAAGCGUGGGGAGCAAACAGGAUUAGAUACCCGGGUAGUC